AUGCCGCCGCCGCUCCUCCGACUCCAUCCUCACCGCCUCCUCCCUCGCCUCCGCCGCUUCACCUCUGGCCCCGUCCUUCUCCGCCUCAACCCCAAAUCCCUCUACGCCACUGCCUCCACCUCACAAGCCGCCCCUACCCCGCCUCCCCAACCUCCUCCCCACGGCCCCUCGCUCCGCCGCGGCCGCCCAACGACCGGCCAUCCUCCCGAAGCGCCCCUCUCCUUCUCGCGCACAUUCGACCUCGCGGCCCUCCGCGUUCCCGCCGCCGCCUGCGCGUCCCUCGAGCGCCGCCUUCGCGGACACUUGCUCAACUGGCCCCGGGUCCGCAACAUCGCCCGUCUCUCCAACGACGACGGCGACGGCCUCGUAUCUCUCCCCACGUCACCCGGGUCCUCCUCCGCCCUCCCGCCGACCGCGGUGGCGCGCCGCGAGAAGCUGGCCCGCGAGUUCAAUGCCCGCGGCUUCGUGGAGUUCCCCAUCCUCGCCAAGAUGUCACGGCCCGCCGGGCGGACGCGAAGGGAGAUGAAGGGGAGAGCAGCCGGCGGCAAGGAGACCAAGCACGAGAAAGACAAGGUCUAUGUCGUGGAGGUGCUGGAGCAGGGAGGGGAGGACGACGAAGACGAAUGGAAGGGGUUAGUCGGGGAGGAAGGGUUCGGGAAGGGCGCGUGGCGAGGGGAGCCCACCCGGCUGCUGCUGCUGGAUGAGGGUCACGCCAAUAGGAGAGUUGAUGAGCUCCCGGAGGCCGUCAAGGUUGUGUUAGAACACGAAGCCAACCAGGGUGGACCUUUUGCCUAUGAGCUUGUGCAAUGUCAGCUAACCCUGUUCUAUGAUUACUGGCCAAUGAAUGAGGUCUUGGAGGCAUUACUUCCUGAAGGGAUAAUCAUUCCUGCAGGCUUUGAGACAGUAGGACAUAUUGCCCACUUGAACUUGAGGGAUGAACACUUACCUUAUAAGACAGUUAUAGCUCAGGUCGUUCUAGACAAAAACAAGCCAAAGAUCCAAACUGUUGUCAAUAAGAUUGAUGCUAUUCAAAAUGAUUACAGAACUAUGCAACUUGAAAUCUUAGCUGGCCACGAUUCCCUUGUUACAACAGUUAUUGAGAGUGGCCUUCGUUUUCAAGUUGAUCUUGCAACAGUCUAUUGGAAUUCUAGAUUAUCAACAGAAAGGCAGAGGCUUGUCAACAAUAUCUUUCAAAAUUCUGAUGUUGUAUGUGAUGUAUUCUCUGGUGUUGGGCCAAUAGCAAUUUCAGCUGCAAAAAAAGUCAAAUAUGUUUAUGCAAAUGACCUAAACCCAGCUGCAGUCGAGUACCUUGAGCAAAACAUUGUUCUUAACAAACUUGAGAGAAAAAUUGAGGUAUAUAACAUGGAUGCCAGAAGGUUUGUUAAUGCGAUGUACUCAAGCCAACAUGUGCAUCCAGUCACACAAGUAGUAAUGAAUUUGCCCAAGGAUGCUGCAGAAUUUUUAGAUGUGUUCAGAGGAAUCUUAAGAAACAGACAAACAGGACACAUCGCCAUGCCAAAGAUCCAUGUGUAUGGAUUCUCCAAAGCCGAGGAUCCUGAAUAUGACUUUCAUGAGAGGAUAAAUCUAGCAUUGUGUGACAGUGUGAUGGGCGUCGAAAUGCACAGGGUACGGCUUGUUGCCCCUGGGAAAUGGAUGCUCUGUGCGUCUUUUACCCUUCCAGAAUCUGUCGCAUAUGCAAAGGCGAAUUACAUUACCUGCUAA
rnacentral:rRNA from 1 species